rnacentral:sRNA from 1 species
CAGAUGGACUCUGGAGGAUUUUAAUUUUCAUGAUUUCCAUACUAUUCUCAUCUGGAAGCCAAACGAGGGAAAGGACAAAGGGAAAGGCUGCAAUAAGGUUAGAAAGAUGACGCUGGUUCUUGAAUUGAUUUUCCUAAAACAACCAUCAAUUUUAACUCCGCAACAGAGAAAGCAUGUUUUUUUCUUCUGAAUAUUCAGAUGAAAAACAAUAGAGCUGGAGAGAAAAUAUUUAUUAGUAAUUAAGGUUUUUAGUUAGUUCAUGCAGGCCCGCGCAGUCCGCAGUUCGAUGGAUACUGCGCACAGAAUCGAGAAAAAGAAAAUAAUAGACAAGUUGAAAAAAAUUAAAAAAAAAAAAUGUGGAUGGAGCAGGCUAGUGGUAAGAUGACUGGCUUCCCCUCGCUCACUCCUGACCAGCUGUCAGAAGAAUAGCGAAAUCUAGCCGUUUCUUGGGUGCAGAAUGAACAUGAUGGCUGGAUUUGAUCGCGACCGCUUCCCGUUUCUAGAUCCCUCAUAUCCCACCCCCUAAAAAAAGAAGGGGAGGGAUUGGAGUUGAUAAAACGCACGUGGUUUUGCUCUUUGGUAUCUAUUUAUCGUCUUAUCGGUAUGCCACAUCGGAGAAGUUCAAUAAAUGGGCU